rnacentral:rRNA from 1 species
GACGAACGCUGGCGGCGUGCUUAACACAUGCAAGUCGAACGGAAAGGCCCCCAUCUUGGUGGGGGUGCUCGAGUGGCGAACGGGUGAGUAACACGUGGGUGAUCUGCCCUGUACUUCGGGAUAAGCUUGGGAAACUGGGUCUAAUACCGGAUAGGACCAUGGUUUAGUGUCUCAUGGUGGAAAGAUUAUUGUUUUGGUGCAGGAUGAGCUCGCGGCCUAUCAGCUUGUUGGUGGGGUAAUGGCCUACCAAGGCGUCGACGGGUAGCCGGCCUGAGAGGGUGGACGGCCACAUUGGGACUGAGAUACGGCCCAGACUCCUACGGGAGGCAGCAGUGGGGAAUAUUGCACAAUGGGCGCAAGCCUGAUGCAGCGACGCCGCGUGGGGGAUGACGGCCUUCGGGUUGUAAACUCCUUUCGUGAGGGACGAAGCCGCACUUUUUUUGGGUGUGGUGACGGUACCUUUGUUAAGAAGCACCGGCUAACUACGUG